GACGAACGCUGGCGGCGUGCUUAACACAUGCAAGUCGAACGGAAAGGCCCUGCUUUUGUGGGGUGCUCGAGUGGCGAACGGGUGAGUAACACGUGAGUAACCUGCCCUUGACUUUGGGAUAACUUCAGGAAACUGGGGCUAAUACCGGAUAGGAGCUCCUGCUGCAUGGUGGGGGUUGGAAAGUUUCGGCGGUUGGGGUUGGACUCGCGGCUUAUCAGCUUGCUGGUGGGGUAGUGGCUUACCAAGGCUUUGACGGGUAGCCGGCCUGAGAGGGUGACCGGCCACAUUGGGACUGCGAUACGGCCCAGACGGCUACGGGAGGCAGCAGUGGGGAAUAUUGCACAAUGGGCGGAAGCCUGAUGCAGCAACGCCGCGUGCGGGAUGACGGCCUUCGGGUUGUAAACCGCUUUCGCCUGUGACGAAGCGUGAGUGACGGUAAUGGGUAAAGAAGCACCGGCUAACUACGUG
rnacentral:rRNA from 1 species